UUCUAGGAAGCUUAUGGCUCAGUAUGGCAUCUCCUGCCCAAGCAGAACUGGAGCAGAACAUCCGGAAACAUCUCACUUCCUCGUCAGAGCCCAUUCUGGACAUCAAGACCGAAGCAGCCGCGGUGCUUCUAGUGGAUGGGGCCCCAAUGAGUACUACUGAAAUCACCCCACUGGCCGCCAUGGAGUGCUCCCCGACAGCCACCAUUGAGGAAAUCCCCAUAGUUCCCUUGGAAGUGCCCCCACUGGAGACCCCCAAUGUACCCCUAGAGCCAGAAGCCAAUAAGGAGGAGCCUCUCCUGGAGAAGGACUCAGAGUUCGGCCCCUCGACCGACGAUUUGGAUCUCCCUCCUCCGCCAGACAAGGGUCCCCCUUCGGAGGCCGGCUCCUUGGGGUCCCUUCCGUGGCCGGACGUCCCCGAGGAAUGCGGCCCUCAGCGGCCCACCACUCUGGACUUCUCCAAGCCUCUGAAGAGGUUGGAAGAGGUCAAACAGGCUGGGCAGAGGAGGAACAGCGACCAGGCCAGCAUAAAAGAGAAUGGGCUGGAGAGCUGUCCGGAGGCGCCGCCAGUUGACGAGGAGAAGACGGCCAUGCAAUCCGAACUGGGCAAGUGCAUCGCUGACUUCCGGAGGAUCAAGAUCCCCAACUCCUUCCCCAACCGGAAGCGGCCCUGGCAGAAUGAACUGCUCAAGAAAUACCAGCUUUGAGGUAGGGAAUCCCACAGACGUUGCAGCUUCCAUGGCCACAAAGAAGGCCCUGUCCUUUGUGACACUUAGCUGACACCUUGAAAGUGUGGACCUUUCCUGCUGAGCUCAAGGGACAUAGGGAUCGAAUGGUUCACGGAAGGGACCGAGGGAGUCAUGGGUGUUGUUAUGGGUCGGGGCAAGUGGGGCAGAAGAAGAGUUGCUGGGAGGAAAUUUACACCAAGCCAAUUCAUCAUGGACUAACCUCCAAGGCUGGUUUCUGGUCUGAACAACCAAACCGAGAAGGUGUCCUGGUCACCUCUGAUAGUGAGGGCGAGUGGUUGGAGCUGCAGACCAACAGCUUUCAGCAGAAAGAUUCAAUGUUCCUUCUCAUGUGAAAUUUCACACAGAGCAAGCUCAAAGACACAGGUCUGCCAGGUUAGCUGAGAAACUACAAGCAACACCUGUGGCCUUAGCAUAAAAGACUCGAGUUUGCAGACUUGUUGCUGGAAGCAACGUCUUGCUGGAUGGUGUUACUGUGAACUUGUUGUGUGACUGGCUUUAUGAACCCUGGACCAGAACUGGACUUAAGUACUUUGGAUUCUGGUUUACAAUUAGUUAUACUGUUACUUACUGGCUUGUUCGACCUCAGAACAUGGACACUUACUUACUAGCACUGGGAAUGUGGAUUUAGGCAUUGAACUCUCUGUGUACAACCUCUGGACUUGGAUAUUGAUUAACUGUGUUUGAGCAUGAAAGAGGCACAUCAUGACAGAAAGGCAUAGUUAGACCUUUUCACAUUGGGAUAUCCUCCACUUAAAUCAGUAUUCAUCCUGUAUUUUUUUUUAGGACUGGAUGCAUAAUGUAUUCAUACUCUCCCCAGCACACCCAUUUCUUAUGAUUGAUAGUAUUGCACUUUUACUCAUUGGACAAUGGAAGGCUGGCUCCUUCCAAUCCAUCCAAAUGUUUCCCUACAUCACUUAUUUAAUUAUUUUUACCCCUAAUAUUAUGCAGUGAUUUAGCCUGGAAAUCUCAAACUAUUGUUCUCGCGAGAUUUUAGCUGACAGGAUGCACACUGAUUUUUCAAUCCCACAUAAAAACAAUGCUUCAGCAAUGUAUGAAACUGUAGUCAAUCAAAAAACAUGAUUUGAAUCCUGUGUGCAAUUACUCAAUUUCUGCAAUGUUUUGAAUACGGAUUGCAACAGAUGACUGACGGAACGGGGCAAAUGUCAUGUGACAGAACCCAGUCAGAAUCACAUUCAAAGAGUCUCAGAAACUAAGUAUAUCCCAAUGUAAUAAGGUCCAUUAUCUUCUUACAUCCACUUGGCCACAGUAGGCACGGAGUCUGGCGGGCCGAAAGGCAUAUAUAGUUCAAGGGAUACGGAACUUCUAUGCUGACUUUCAAAGGUGUCUUCUUCAGGCAAAGAGGGUUAAAAGAAAAGGUGGAAAUGCUGCCAAGUACCAAACCCAGCUCUUGCCUUGAGGUGGUCAUCAGUAAGAAUGGCUUGUGUUGACUAUCAAAGGGUGAUCCCAACACAGCUCUCUAUGGGGUGCAAAGUCUUUGGGAAAGAAGCAAUAAAAUUUGAACUCAAAGAACUCUCGUUGAGAACUCAGAUCUGUGUCAGUCCAAUUCAAGUCACCUGCAGAAGACCUUUCUAAAAUCUCUAUAUUUGCAAACGUGGAGAGAAAUUUAGAAAUGGUGGUCUUUUUGUUUUGUGUCUUCAAGUUGAUUACAGCUUUUAGCAACUCAG
rnacentral:lncRNA from 11 species